GCUAGGUUGCACGGUUGCUGAGAAACAGUGCUCCAAAUUUACCUCUUGAAGUGAAUGGGGCAUAUAUCCGGAAGGACUAAUUUGCAUAUGGCGGCCAUAUUGUUUACAUAUUUCAACUUUUUCUUAAUGAAUAUUGAAGCGCAUGCUCUCACGAGUGUUUUGAUACCAAACAUGCCAGGAUUGGUCAAAAUUCCUAGGACUAGUUUGCAAAAGUAGGUUUUGCAUAUUAUGCAAAUUAGCACAAAAUCUAUAUAGACGGAAGUGCAUGGUCCAAAUUGGAAAGUUGUUGGUAUUGACCCAAGGAAUCCAUCAAAAAAAGAAUUUUGAAUGUAGGUCUUAUGGUUUUUGAGUUAUUGAGAAAAUUGUGAAAAAUGAAUUUCCUUGUUUAUAGCGCCACCACUUGACCAAUCGGUGCCAUUUUUGUUGUCCACCGAGAUGCACUGAUCCUACAUCUACCUACCAAGUUUCAUUUCUCUAUGACUUACGGUUUAGGCUGCACAACUGUUUUUACAGGAGAAAAAGAAUAAUAAUAAUAAUAAUAAGAAGAAGAAGAAGAAAAAUCUUAGCAAAAACAAUAGGGUUCUACGCACCUUCGGUGCUUGAACCCUAAUAAUAAGAA